rnacentral:rRNA from 1 species
UGGGGAAUCUUGCACAAUGGGGGCAACCCUGAUGCAGCGACGCCGCGUGAGCGAUGAAGCCCUUCGGGGCGUAAAGCUCUUUCGACCGGAACGAUAAUGACGGUACCUCUUAAGGAAGCACCGGCUAACUCCGUGCCAGCAGCCGCGGUAAUACGGAGGGUGCGAGCGUUGUUCGGAAUUACUGGGCGUAAAGCGCGUGCAGGCGGUCUCUUAAGUCUGGUGUGAAAGCCCGGGGCUCACCCCCGGAAGGGCACUGGAGACUGGGAGGCUAGAGUACCGGAGAGGAAGGUGGAAUUCCUGGUGUAGCGGUGAAAUGCGUAGAUAUCAGGAGGAACACCGGUGGCGAAGGCGGCCUUCUGGACGGCUACUGACGCUGAGACGCGAAAGCGUGGGGAGCAAACA